rnacentral:tRNA from 1 species
GCCCCGCUAGCUCAGCUGGAUAGAGCAUCUGCCUUCUAAGCAGAGGGUCGGGGGUUCGAGUCCCUCGCGGGGCGCCA